AGAACUUGAAACCGUGUGCUUACAAGUAGUCAGAGCCCGUUAAUGGGUGAUGGCGUGCCUUUUGUAGAAUGAACCGGCGAGUUACGAUUUGAUGCAAGGUUAAGCAGCUAAUGUGGAGCCGUAGCGAAAGCGAGUCUGAAUAGGGCGUUUAGUAUUUGGUCGUAGACCCGAAACCAGGUGAUCUACCCUUGGUCAGGUUGAAGUUCAGGUAACACUGAAUGGAGGACCGAACCGACUUACGUUGAAAAGUGAGCGGAUGAACUGAGGGUAGCGGAGAAAUUCCAAUCGAACUUGGAGAUAGCUGGUUCUCUCCGAAAUAGCUUUAGGGCUAGCCUCAAGUGAUGAUUAUUGGAGGUAGAGCACUGUUUGGACGAGGGGCCCUUCUCGGGUUACCGAAUUCAGACAAACUCCGAAUGCCAAUCAAUUUAACUUGGGAGUCAGAACAUGGGUGAUAAGGUCCGUGUUCGAAAGGGAAACAGCCCAGACCACCAGCUAAGGUCCCAAAAUAUAUGUUAAGUGGAAAAGGAUGUGGCGUUGCCCAGACAACUAGGAUGUUGGCUUAGAAGCAGCCAUCAUUUAAAGAGUGCGUAAUAGCUCACUAGUCGAGUGACACUGCGCCGAAAAUGUACCGGGGCUAAACAUAUUACCGAAGCUGUGGAUUGUCCGUAGGACAAUGGUAGGAGAGCGUUCUAAGGGCGUCGAAGCAUGAUCGCAAGGACAUGUGGAGCGCUUAGAAGUGAGAAUGCCGGUGUGAGUAGCGAAAGACGGGUGAGAAUCCCGUCCACCGAUUGACUAAGGUUUCCAGAGGAAGGCUCGUCCGCUCUGGGUUAGUCGGGUCCUAAGCUGAGGCCGACAGGCGUAGGCGAUGGAUAACAGGUUGAUAUUCCUGUACCACCUAGUAUCGUUUUAAUCGAUGGGGGGACGCAGUAGGAUAGGCGAAGCGUGCUAUUGGAUUGCACGUCCAAGCAGUAAGACUGAGUGUUAGGCAAAUCCGGCACUCAUAAGGUCAAGCUGUGAUGGGGAGAGGAAAUU
rnacentral:rRNA from 1 species